GCUCUUCUUCAUGCCUGUCAGUGUUUGUAACUGUACCAGCGGACAGCCUUGAUCCGCUGGGGAAUCGCAUUCUCAUAAAUUUAGGUUUGGCAACGGUGCAAGCCAUGGCUUUGUUCUUCAGAGGAGCUGUUACGAGUUCUCCAAUUAAGACCAGGAGCUUGGCAUCUGAACACAUUUGUCACAGUCUUGACACCUCCCACAUCUCUGACUCUUCCUUUGAGUGUUUCUCUACCAAUCCGCUGACCGGCUCGGUGUGUGCUUGUCGGCGAAGUCCGCGCCUACUAGCCAAUGGUUAUUAUGUACUGACAGAGGACAGUUUUAGUACAGACGAGGAGGGUAAUGUCACCCUGACUCCCUCACAAACUAGCAUCUCAUACAAAGAGAAUCACGUCCGAAUAUUCAGGCGACGACGCAGGGCAAAAAGGUCAUUGGCCAGUCUUCUGAGUGAUAUGAGCCAAUCAUGCCAGUCCUGGCUGGAAGGAAGUGUUUUUAGAAGGUCUGACCCCAUCACUCCCCUCCAGUCAUCAUCAUCAUGGGAGGUGGAAGAGCUGGAUCACAACUAUGAGAAAGCUACACCUAUGAGCUUUACUUACGAUCCCACAGAUUCUGUUUCCUCACCUGAGAAACUGGCUCCUCAAACUCAGCUAGAAGAGGAGGAGCCUCAGUCUGAUGCAUGCCCCGCCCACGAACAUUUCAGCCAAUCAGUUAGCGGUCUUCUAGAUGUUCCUCCUCCAUCCAUCUGUCACCUCAACAGUUAUAGUCCAUCCAGCAAGACAUCGUCAGACACUGUGCUGCUGAGAGUACUCCUGCUGACCCUCACUCUGUGCCUCUGCAUUGCCUUAUCCUCCAGGUGGCUGCUGGGAGGAGUUUCUGUAGCAGUGGCAUUCUUUGUUCUGCUUUAUUCCCUAUGCACUUUGGUGGUUUUUCCCACUUGUAAAGACUGACUGUAGGGUGAGCCAAUAGCAUUGGAGUGUGGGCUGUGAAGGAGCAUAUAAUUUCUUUGACCCACUGAACAAUUCAACAUUUUCCUCAUUCACUUCAUGAACGAUCGAUGUCAGCGCCUUCUUCUGACCAAUUGAAGGAGAGGUGGCAUGUCACUCAUUUAGGUAUGUCUAAAUCUGGGAGAGUCUGCUGGAGGAGAGCAAAGACUGAGGAUAUCACAUCUAGAAACGAGUGAAGAAGAGACAUACAGACACAUAUACACCUGUGUGAAGUCUAAGAACAGCGGAAGUGAGAGAGUAUGUGAAUGCACAUCCUGCAUAGGCAUUAUAAUUUAAUUGUAGACCAGUAUAUUGUGUUGGUGUUUUCACUGAUCAGCAGCAGAAUUCUAAAUAUUAAUCAUUAAAUAAAGUUCAAACAGGUAUACAUGCUAAGAAAAGCAUGCAUUUUAUUCAAAUGCAUUUUGAACGCAUCAAUGCAGGAUUUUCAUUUAGGAAUGAAUUUGUUAUUUGACUAAGUUUCCUUAAUGAAAGACUGGAUUGCAGUAUUAUAAAUUCUCUAAGAGUCAGUGAAGGUGCACUGCAUGGUAGAACAUAAAAUGAAAUGUGCAAGUUGUGUUUGUGAACAAAUUAGCUUGGCUUGGUUGGGCUCUUUAACCUCUUAUGGUUACUGGGGCAUCAUGUGCAUAUUACCUUGUUUGGUCAGAAGAUUAAAUGCCUGUAUAAUAGAAAUGUUUUGCUGCCAUACCCAGGGUGUUUUAAUAGUGUUGCUGAAAUGUUGUUAAACUUGUUGAUAGUUAAUCAUUAAUAGCAAAUUAUGUAUCUUAAAAAGUGCCAGUUUUGCUUUGCAGAGAUGCCUCAUAUUUGUCAAGUGCCUUCAUGUACUGAAGUGUUUUGUUGUUGCCACAUGCCAGGGUUAUACACACACAUGUUGUGUGAGCGCAAUAAUUAGUAUUGUACUGUUGUAUUGCACAGUAAAGUGUUAUUGACACUUACAUAGACAAUUGUUUGCAGGGGAUUAGUGCUGCCAAAGGAACCAUGUUCUAGAUUUACUGUAUAUAAUGUGUAUCAUUCUGUCAAAUUCAUACAAGGCAGCUUCUCUAACAGAAAGAUCCUUAUGAGAAGUUAAGAAGUUUCAGCGUUGUCUGUAAAAUAUUAAAUAUUUAACCAACAAUAAUUAAGAUAAAGAGAAGGGACCAAGUCCUCCGAGUUCUAUUUCAUAGACCUACUGGUCCAAUAGAACUUGAGUCGUCUGGAGGAACUGACAAGGAUGAUUAGAAAGAUAAUAAUUUUCUUAUAAAGCCCAGAGAAAUUAUAGGAGAAGGUUUUUAAAGGCAGCUCAUGAGGGAAAAAGAGCAAAACAAAAGUGUUUAAAGUGGAUGUGAAAUUUUAAGAAGUCAAUCAUCCAAAUGUAUUUAGCUUGUAGCCAAUAUAUAUCUAUUGUGUUUAUAUUCACUGUAUCAUGCCUUUAAUGUUUAGUGUAAAUCUUUUUGUAGUGCACAUGAGCAAUGAAACAUUCUGGUGCAUUGAAUAUUACUUGAUAAAAUAGUCAAUAUUCAAUGUAAUGUGUGUUCUAUAGAAAAUGUAUAAUCACUAUUAUGACAUUUAUUAUUAAAACAAUCAGUAAGAUGAGGGCGAAAAGCAAUUAAUUAAUUAAAAAAAAAUGUAAGACAUAAAAUGUUGGAAAAAUGCCAAAAGUAAAGGUUUGUGCAUUUUUGUGUUAGUUUGUUUAUUUAUUUCAAAUAGUAAUUUGUAGCAUUAAGAAGGAAGAUUGACCAAAUAUGAUUAUUUCAUACCAAAGUAUGUACGGUAGUAAAAUUAAAGUGAAAGCGCAAGAAAUAUAAUUUGUGUGGAACAUAAGGGUUAUAGUAAACAGUGCUCAUAAUAAUUUGUCCAUUCAGCUCCAGUGACUGCAGUGAAACUGUAACUCCACCUAGACAACAAUCUGUGUCACAAGAUUACUGUAAAUACUAAAACGUUUUAGUUAGUCCAUAUUCCAUUGCAUGUGAUAGUGAAAAUAUAUACACUGUAAAGUGUAAUCUUAAAAUGAAAUGUAUUUAGCUAAGUAAUUUGCACAGCCACAAUUUGCAGUUAGCCAUCUUAAAAAGUAAAGGAUUAAAAUGCCUUAAAAAGAUAAGAAGUGUUAUUUUUUAAAGAUUUAUAUUUUUAUGGUGUAUUUUGGAAAGAACACUUUUUAUUAAUAAUACAGUUUUGAAUUUCAACAAUAAAGCUUUUUUUAUAUGUAAAUUUGUGUUGUUUUUGUAAUUAAACAUUGAUAUAUUGCUUACAAAUAGGGGAGACUGGGGUAAGAUGUGCCUUACAAUAAGAUUUCUUUAUUUAGUUUAUCAUAAGUUUGUAAACAUGCAAUAUUAUUUCUGAAUAAUUUGAAUAUUUUUUUACACAACAAAAUUCACAACACAAAGAAAUCAAGCUAUAACAUAAAGAAAUUAAGCUACAAAACAAUUAAGCUACAACAUAAAAUGUCUUGCCAAAAAGUAUGAAUUAAAUGAAAAUCAUAACAUAAUCAAAACAUAUAUCUAC